GAUGAACGCUAGCGGCAGGCCUAAUACAUGCAAGGCGAGGGGUUCGCAAGGACACCGUCGUACGGGUGCGUAACGCGUAUGCAACCUACCUAUCACAGGGGGAUAGCCUUUGGAAACGGGGAUUAAUACCGCAUAAAGAAGGGGCUCGGCAUCGAGAUACUGCUAAAGAUUUAUCGGUGAUAGAUGGGCAUGCGUCUGAUUAGUGAGUUGGUGAGGUAAUGGCUCACCAAGACGAUGAUCAGUAGGGGGCGUCAGAGCGUGGUCCCCCACACUGGCACUGAGAUACGGGCCAGACUCCUACGGGAGGCAGCAGUAGGGAAUAUUGGGCAAUGGAUGCAAGUCUGACCCAGCCAUGCCGCGUGAAGGAAGAAGGUCCUCCGGAUUGUAAACUUCUUUUGUCGGGGAAGAAGAGUCCUCUUGCGAGGGGAUGUGACGGUACCCGAUGAAUAAGCCACGGCUAACUACGUGCCAGCAGCCGCAGUAAGAC
rnacentral:rRNA from 1 species